rnacentral:rRNA from 1 species
UACGUAGGGACCAAGCGUUGUCCGGAAUUACUGGGCGUAAAGAGCUCGUAGGUGGUUUGUCGCGUUGUUCGUGAAAUUCCCUGGCUUAACUGGGGGCGUGCGGGCGAUACGGGCAGACUGGAGUACUGCAGGGGAGACUGGAAUUCCUGGUGUAGCGGUGGAAUGCGCAGAUAUCAGGAGGAACACCGGUGGCGAAGGCGGGUCUCUGGGCAGUAACUGACGCUGAGGAGCGAAAGCGUGGGGGGCGAACAGG